rnacentral:tRNA from 1 species
GGCAGGGUAGCUCAGUGGUAGAGCACUGGUAUCAUAAACCAGGAGUCGUGGGUUCAACCCCCACCCCUGCUA